UAAUUUUUAGGGAAAACUUCAAAUACCCUCCCUGUAGUUUCGCACUUUCUCACUUUAGUACCCUGUGGUUUAAAGUGUAUCAAGUUAGUAUCCUAUGGUUUCGCACUUUCUCACUUUAGUACCAUGUGGUUUAAUAUUUCGUUAAAUUAUAUAUAAAAAACUUCAGAUAUCGUACCUAGGUUUAUCGAGUAUUCAUUUUAGUACCCUUUUGUUUUAACUUUGUCACUGAUUUAACAAAAAAUGCCCCGAAAUGGAUAAUAAAAAGAGAAAAAUAAAACCACAGGGGUACUACUUUGAUACAAAAAUGAAACUAUAUAGUACUAACUUGAUACACUUUAAACCACAGGGUACUAAAGUGAGAAAGUGCGAAACCACAGAGUACUAACUUGAUACACUUUAAACCAUAUGGUACUAAAGUGAAAAAGUGCGAAACCACAGGGUGGGUAUUUGAAGUUUUCUCUAAUUUUUAAGAUAAGCUGGAAUAAGAAUAAUUUUACGUUUGAAUGAAAAUUAGAUUAUUACUGAGAAGAAGAAAAAUAGUGAUUGAAUAAUUUGAAUAGUGAGAUGAAAUAGUGAGAAUAAAAAUAAUUAUAAUUUUAAAAUAAUAAUAUUUUAUCUAAUUAAUUAAAAUCAAAAUAUUAAGGGAAAUUAGGUUAAAAUAUUAAGGAAAAUAAGAA
rnacentral:lncRNA from 1 species